UUUUUUUAAUUUUUAACAAAUAAAUAUUUUAAAAAAGUUGUUUAUUUUUUUAUAUGGAAAAUGAACCGAUUUUUCUAAUCUAAAGCAAUUCAUGAGAAAUUAUGAAAAGAAUAUCUUAUCGAAUUAAUAUCACGUUCUAAGCCUCAUGAUAAUCCGAUAUAUAAAUAUAAAACAAUCACAUAUAAUUGCAAAAGAGGUCAUUUUUUCAAAUCCAGCUUAACUAUCGUAAAAGAAAAGACAACUUUUAAACAAGGGUGCAAUAGAAAAGUUAUUUUCAAACUUAAACCUAAUGGAAAUGGAUGUGACACACAAUCAUAUAAUAUUGACUGAAAAAUACUAAAAUAAAUUGCAAUGGGCCUGGGAAAAAUAUGAGCAUCAAUGCCUUAGCAAUAUUCUUACACCACUGUAAAAUCCAGGAAGGGCUUCAAAUUUUGAUCUCUGCAAUAAAUCUUUUCAAAUAUUUUUUAAUUUUAUACCUUUCCAAAUUAUGUUACCACUGAUAUUUACAUUUAUGGGAUUUUAUGUUUAAAUCAUCUUCAAAAUUUUCUUUUGAUAAUAUUAAGCGCCUAAAAAGUUUACCUUAUUUUAAUAUUUAUUAUAUUGUGUGAUUCUUAUAUUAUUUAUAAUGGUGAUGGAUUAUUGCAAAAAACUAUUCUAUGAAUCCUCCUUUGAAUAUAACUUUAAACAAUAUAAUUUAGCAUAAAGAAUUAUUUUUAUUGUUAAAAAUAUUUAAUGUUUGUAAUUUAUAUAUAAAAUAUAAUAUCAUCAUGUACA